rnacentral:rRNA from 1 species
CUUGGUCAUUUAGAGGAAGUAAAAGUCGUAACAAGGUUUCCGUAGGUGAACCUGCGGAAGGAUCAUUAAUGUAACCGGACCGGUCCUCUGCCGUCAAACGCAGCGGAUGGGAAUGGGAGAUAUCAUACACCCUAUGUUUAUUUACUUUUGUUGCUUUGGCGGGCCGUCCUUUUAGGCGUCGGCCCCGGCUGAUCGCGCCCGCCAGAGGACCCAAACUCUUUUAUCAGUGAUGUCUGAGUACUAUAAUAAUAGUUAAAACUUUCAACAACGGAUCUCUUGGUUCUGGCAUCGAUGUAGAACGCAGCGAAAUGCGAUAAGUAAUGUGAAUUGCAGAAUUCAGUGAAUCAUCGAAUCUUUGAACGCACAUUGCGCCCGCUGGUAUUCCGGCGGGCAUGCCUGUUCGAGCGUCAUUAUGACCAAUCAAGCUCUGCUUGGCCUUGGGGCCCGCUGUACCGGCGGCCCUUAAAAUCAGUGGCAGUGCCGUCUGGCUCUAAGCGUAGUAAUACUUUUCGCUACAGGGUCCAGCCGUCCACCCGCCCAGGAACCCCCAACUUUCUUAGGUUGACCUCGGAUCAGGUAGGGAUACCCGCUGAACUUAAGCAUAUCAAUAAGCGGAGGA